ACGGAGGGUGCGAGCGUUAUUCGGAAUUACUGGGCGUAAAGCGCGUGUAGGCGGGGAUGCAAGUCUGAUGUGAAAGCCCUGGGCUUAACCUGGGAAGUGCAUUGGAAACUGCAUUUCUUGAGUACUGGAGAGGAAGGGGGAAUUCCCGGUGUAGAUGUGAAAUUCGUUGAUGUCAAGAAUAACACCAGUUGCGAAGGCGUUUGCCUGGUCUGUAACUGACUCUCAAUGACUAAAGCUUGGGGAUCAAACAG
rnacentral:rRNA from 1 species